rnacentral:rRNA from 1 species
GACGAACGCUGGCGGCGUGCUUAACACAUGCAAGUCGUACGGUAAGGCCCUUUCGGGGGUACACGAGUGGCGAACGGGGGAGUAACACGUGGGUAACCUGCCCACUACUUUGUGAUAACGCUGGGAAACUGGGGCUACUAAUGGAUAUGUGCCCUUGCUGCUAGGGGGGGGUUGGAAAGAUCUGCGGGUUGUGGAUGGACCCGCGGCCGAUUGGCGUGUUGGCGGGGUAGUGGCCUACCGAGGCGGCGACGGGCAGCCGGUCUGAGAGGGUGACCGGCCACACUGGAGGUGAGCGACGGUCCAGGGUCCUACGGGCGGCAGCAGUGGGGAAUGUUGGAAGAAGGGGGGAAUAUUGAACAAGCCAUGCCAGGCGGAUGAAGCAGGCCUUCGGGCUGUAUGGCCCUCUUGGUGUGAUAGAAAGGCUGCAGCUGGGUAGAAGCCUGUUCUGACGGUACCCAAAGAAGAAGCACCGGCUAACUACGUG